rnacentral:lncRNA from 1 species
UUAGUUGUAGCAUUACCAGAGUUCUUAUUAAAUGCAAAAUAAAAUCACUAAAGCUAUACUUUGGUGAUAAAGUUUAAACUUAAUUUUAAGUAGUCUAUAUGUGUUUAUUAUUGAAUAAUUCUAUGCAUCUGCCAAUCUGUCAUGUGGUCUAUGUGAUACAUUUAUGAUCACGUUAUAAAGAUCAAAGAGCAUACAAAAAGAACAUUUGUACUUGGCAUGGUGCUGAUUAUAGGAAUUUAUAUUAGUAUUGAAAAUUGGUAAGUUCAAGAUGGGUAAAGAGACUGGAGAAAUCUUCAUAGAUGAAUUAAACCCUACUGUCAUAAAAAUAGGAAACACUUGCUAAAUAUUUAUUAACAUAAAAUUAGGCACACUCUUGUUAAAUCUCUGACCUAGAUCAUUGCAGGAACUUUAAAAUGAUCUCCCUGACCAUUUUUACCUCCUGUUCAUCCGCUGCACUACUGAUACUAGAGACCAAAAUUGACGAGGCCAUUUCCAGUUUUAAGUACUCUUGUUUUCUGUCUGCAGAAUAUAAAAUAGAAUCCAAUGUCUUCAGUGAAAAUUAUAAAGAACAUUUACGUCUUACCCCUGGCUAAAUUUUAGUUCUAUUUACUUGCAAUUCCUGACUAUCAAGACUAUUUCACAUAGCAGCAGCUCAGAUAGCAUCUCCACUGAAAAAUAUUGGUUGGUUCCACAAGCUUGAAUCUACUACUCUCUUCAGUGUUUCUAAACUUUUGGGAGCAGCAGUGGUACCAUGAGGCUGAGAAGAUAUUUGCCUUUCUUUGACUCCAGGAUUAGUUCUCCUUUGCUAACAUCUUAAUAUCUUCUGAAAUAAAACAGGGAACAGCCAACUAAAAAUCAAUUCACCACGUCUGAAGCUGCCAGAUCCAGAAUGAGCAAGAGCAGACAUAAUAUGAUUAUGAGGACUCAGAGCAUUCAGGACAUACAACUGAAUCCCACAUAAAUUGCCAGCCAAAGGGAGAUGUUGCUGGAUGACCUGCUAACAGGGAUUUAGAGCGAUCAAGCUUUUCGAUCUAUGUUUCCAUGGUGAGGUAGAUAACAUGUUCAAAAAUUAGGCUUUUAUGGUCACAAAUUCUGCCAAAACUUUAGCUCAUUACCUCUAAACAAGUGUUCAAUAAUUGCAAGAUUAAUAUUGUUGAGCAUUUAGUGUAUUAAAGCAUUUGCUACUGUUAUGAAGAUUUUCCUGAAAAAAGACCCACUUGAAAUCAUCUCUAUUUUAUUGUAGAUAAAAGUGAGACAUGAAAAGAAAUGCUUUUUAUAACACGAUGCAGUGUAUUAGUGUAAGAAAGUACCUGAAUGAUUAAUUUAAUACUACUUGUGGUGGCACUCAAUAAUAAACCUAACAAAAUCAAGACAAGAGAAUUGACAGAGUUCUUCCUUGACUUAUGAAUGUCUAUACAUAGACUUUUACGUGUGUAGAUAUGAAAUCACAUUUAGAGUGCAUACACACGUAUACACAUUUAUUACGUAUCUACUCAGAAAUACUUUAUUGUAGAAAAAUAUUCUAUUAAAUCAGGAAAAGAAGCAUUAUUAUUUACACAUGGAUAACAGAGGUAACAUGCAUUUCCAUAUCUAUACAGCAGGUAUAAGGUGGAGCAUAUGUUUUUAAGAAUUCAACGUCUCCACAACAGAGACAGGAGCAAAACAGGACCAUUGUCCCAGCAGCCCCACAUACAAUGCCAACAGGACAGAAAACUUUCCUUAUACCAGACAUCAUAAUCUCUUUAUGGACUUGAAUGUUGAACUGGUUAAAUAAUUGUCCAAAAUGAUUUUUUUGAAUAAUGAAAGUGAAUAAGGUAUUAGCUGGCAAUUUUUUCAGGCAUGCAAAUGGUGGCUAAAAUUUAUUAAUAUACUAUUAAAACAGAACAUUAUUAUCCUGUUGAUAUUUAACUAUUUUCAUAACCUGUAUUCCUGUGCCUUUAUAUAUAUAUGUGAGUCUAUAUAUAUUCAUUUUAA